AAAAAGUAUUUGAUCCCCUGCUGAUUUUGUAUGUUUGCCCACUGACAAAGAAAUGAUCAGUCUAUAAUUUUAAUGGUAGGUUUAUUUGAACAGUGAGAGACAGAAUAACAAACAAAAAAAAUCCAGAAAACGCAUGUCAAAAAUGUUAUAAAAUUAUUUGCAUUUUAAUGAGGGAAAUAAGUAUUUGACCCCUCUGCAAAACAUGACUUAGUACUUGGUGGCAAAACCCUUGUUGGCAAUCACAGAGGUCAGACGUUUCUUGUAGUUGGCCACCAGGUUUGCACACACCUCAAGAGGGAUUUUGUCCCACUCCUCUUUGCAGAUCUUCUCCAAGUCAUUAAGGUUUCGAGGCUGACGUUUGGCAACUCAAACCUUCAGCUCCCUCCACAGAUUUUCUAUGGGAUUAAGGUCUGGAGACUGGCUAGGCCACUCCAGGACCUUAAUGUGCUUCUUCUUGAGCCACUCCUUUGUUGCCUUGGCCGUGUGUUUUGGGUCAUUGUCAUGCUGGAAUACCCAUCCACGACCCAUUUUCAAUGCCCUGGCUGAGGGAAGGAGGUUCUCACCCAAGAUUUGACGGUACAUGGCCCCGUCCAUCGUCCCUUUGAUGCGGUGAAGUUGUCCUGUCCCCUUAGCAGAAAAACACCCCCAAAGCAUAAUGUUUCCACCUCCAUGUUUGACAGUGGGGAUGGUGUUCUUCGGGUCAUAGGCAGCAUUCAUCCAUGGCGAGUUGAGUUGAUGCCAAAGAGCUCCAUUUUGGUCUCAUCUGACCACAACACUUUCACCAGUUGUCCUCUGAAUCAUUCAGAUGUUCAUUGGCAAACUUCAGACGGGUAUGUAUAUGUGCUUUCUUGAGCAGGGGGACCUUGCAGGAUUUCAGUCCUUCACGGCGUAGUGUGUUACCAAUUGUUUUCUUGGUGACUAUGGUCCCAGCUGCCUUGAGAUCAUUGACAAGAUCCUCCCCGUAUAGUUCUGGGCUGAUUCCUCGCCGUUCUCAUGAUCAUUGCAACUCCACGAGGUGAGAUCUUGCAUGGAGCCCCAGGCCGAGGGAGAUUGACAGUUCUUUUGUGUUUCUUCCAUUUGCGAAUAAUCUCACCAACUCACAUUAUACAUGAUUUUGAUAGUCCGACUGACAAUGUUGAUCUCUGAGUGUCACUCUGUGCCUUUGUGGGGGAUAUUUGGGCAGUGGUUCUCAACCUGGGGUACUAGCAACCCUGGGGGUAUCUGGCCUAUUCACAGGGGGUACUUGGGAAGACUCGAAUACGUAUAAUUGAGGGGAUACUUUGUGCACAGCAUUAUGGACCUGAUUUUGACGUAAUAAAUGAUGCCUUUCUUGUGCACGCCUUUCCUACGCACUUCUCAGUAGUUGGUACUCAGACUUACCUUAUGAAGGUACGUAAUGAGGUUUGCUGACGAGGUUCCCUUACGCGCAAGAAAUAUAUUGGUUUGAUUCAUCCUGAAAGUUGUCAUAUUCAAGUUCAAUCCAUGAAAUAUUGGAAGGUGGGAAAAAGUGUACAAUAGGGGUUGAACAAUAGUCCUAUAAAUCUACCCUAAGCCUUACUAAUCAUCGAACUGUAUGACAACGGUCCAGUCGUUAUGAACCGUUCGCCGAGCUCCAGGUUUAACCUGCUAAGUGUGGUCUGAGUUCCAUAAUGAUUCAAAUAGGCUACAUGUCCGAAAUGAUUGCACAACAUUAGCCUAAUGCUAGCAACACUCAGGAAGUGGAAGGUUCUAGAUGGUAUGGCUCCAUUCUGCACUGACUGUAAUUUUUAUUCCGACAUUUGGAACAACACAAAUAAUCAUAACAUUUAAAACUAUAUAAAUAUAAAAUAUAUACAUAAAUAAGACUCAUAAGUAACAAAGACAAAUAGAAACAAAUUUGUGUUGAUUUGGCACUCAACCGUCAAUACAUUACCCAUCCCCCAGCACUGUCAACCAAGAAUCAAGACUUAUCAAAUUCACCUUGGUGGUGUGCUGACUGGUUUUAUAUUAUUCUUAAUGAUUUCGCACAAACCAGAAAAAAAUGCAACAAUAUGUCUGUGAAACUAUAUAUUCACAGUAUUAUGAAUGAAUUAUGGUUUAUUUGGUAACAUUUUGUAGUGUGACUGAUUUUACUAAUUGCAUUAGUACUGUACAAAGUUCGAGGUGCGCUAUUUGAUAGAUUCCCCGCUCCCCCUACCUCGGGCUUCCAGUGAGGAGACCUGAGGUCAACCUACCCCCGCUCCCCUCCCCAUCUUGUAUUUCUGAGUGGGAGACCUUCCCAGGCAGUAGCCUGUCUAGCUCACAAACUAGAAUCAGGGAGCCCAUUCCGACAAGGUUAAUUGACCCACCGUGACAUGAUAUCAUUGACGUGACGUGCAAAUGAGCGAUAGAAAACCGAUCGCGCAAAUGUCACCAUUCUGAAUUUUUAUGCGGGCGCCCUGUGCUGCCCCUGGCAAGAUGCCGCCCUGGGCGGCUGCCCAUGUCGCCUAUACCUAAAUCCGCCACUGCCCUCAGGAACAGCUUACACAGACGUGAAAGAAAACUAACACUAAAGUGACAGUUAUAAAUGUGGGUAUAGUAUGUGGGUAUUACUGACGGUGGCCCCCGAUGGUGGCUAAUAUUUAACAUGAUACAUAUUUUUUUAUAAAACGAAGAAAAGCCUGGGCAUUGGCUAUAAUUAAACAAUUCUAAAGUGCAUACAUCAACUCUGCAGGUUCAGCCAUACAGAAGCCUAUAACUUGGGUUCAAGGGUUCUACCUGGAACCAAAAAUGUUCUCGUAUGGGGACAGCCGGAGAACCCUUUUAGGUUCUAUAUAGCACCUUUUAAUUUGAUUUUCAGAGAUCAUAAGGAAAAACCACCUAAAUCAAUUGGUGUGCUUUUACAAUCCCCUUCUCCAAAUGGAUUGCUCAUUUACCUAGCUCUUACCAAUAGCUCUUAUCCAUUUAUAAAUUACCAUGCAUGGAGAAUGCUGUUAUUUCUAUCGAAAUUUUUUUAAG
rnacentral:lncRNA from 1 species